rnacentral:rRNA from 1 species
UACGAAGGGGGCUAGCGUUGUUCGGAUUUACUGGGCGUAAAGCGCACGUAGGCGGAUUGGUCAGUUAGGUGUGAAAUCCUGGAGCUCAACCCCAGAACUGCCUUUAAUACUGCCAGUCUCGAGUCCGGAAGAGGUAAGUGGAACUCCUAGUGUAGAGGUGGAAUUCGUAGAUAUUAGGAAGAACACCAGUGGCGAAGGCGGCUUACUGGUCCGGUACUGACGCUGAGGUGCGAAAGCGUGGGGAGCAAACAGG